rnacentral:rRNA from 1 species
GCCGGUGCGGCGGCUAUACAUGCAAGUCGUACGCUUCUUUUUCCACCGGAGCUUGCUCCACCGGAAAAAGAAGAGUGGCGAACGGGUGAGUAACACGUGGGUAACCUGCCCAUCAGAAGGGGAUAACACUUGGAAACAGGUGCUAAUACCGUAUAACAAUCGAAACCGCAUGGUUUUGAUUUGAAAGGCGCUUUCGGGUGUCGCUGAUGGAUGGACCCGCGGUGCAUUAGCUAGUUGGUGAGGUAACGGCUCACCAAGGCUACGAUGCAUAGCCGACCUGAGAGGGUGAUCGGCCACAUUGGGACUGAGACACGGCCCAAACUCCUACGGGAGGCAGCAGUAGGGAAUCUUCGGCAAUGGACGAAAGUCUGACCGAGCAACGCCGCGUGAGUGAAGAAGGUUUUCGGAUCGUAAAACUCUGUUGUUAGAGAAGAACAAGGAUGAGAGUAACUGUUCAUCCCUUGACGGUAUCUAACCAGAAAGCCACGGCUAACUACGUGCCAGCAGCCGCGGUAAUACGUAGGUGGCAAGCGUUGUCCGGAUUUAUUGGGCGUAAAGCGAGCGCAGGCGGUUUCUUAAGUCUGAUGUGAAAGCCCCCGGCUCAACCGGGGAGGGUCAUUGGAAACUGGGAGACUUGAGUGCAGAAGAGGAGAGUGGAAUUCCAUGUGUAGCGGUGAAAUGCGUAGAUAUAUGGAGGAACACCAGUGGCGAAGGCGGCUCUCUGGUCUGUAACUGACGCUGAGGCUCGAAAGCGUGGGGAGCAAACAGGAUUAGAUACCCUGGUAGUCCACGCCGUAAACGAUGAGUGCUAAGUGUUGGAGGGUUUCCGCCCUUCAGUGCUGCAGCUAACGCAUUAAGCACUCCGCCUGGGGAGUACGACCGCAAGGUUGAAACUCAAAGGAAUUGACGGGGGCCCGCACAAGCGGUGGAGCAUGUGGUUUAAUUCGAAGCAACGCGAAGAACCUUACCAGGUCUUGACAUCCUUUGACCACUCUAGAGAUAGAGCUUCCCCUUCGGGGGCAAAGUGACAGGUGGUGCAUGGUUGUCGUCAGCUCGUGUCGUGAGAUGUUGGGUUAAGUCCCGCAACGAGCGCAACCCUUAUUGUUAGUUGCCAUCAUUCAGUUGGGCACUCUAGCAAGACUGCCGGUGACAAACCGGAGGAAGGUGGGGAUGACGUCAAAUCAUCAUGCCCCUUAUGACCUGGGCUACACACGUGCUACAAUGGGAAGUACAACGAGUCGCGAAGUCGCGAGGCUAAGCUAAUCUCUUAAAGCUUCUCUCAGUUCGGAUUGUAGGCUGCAACUCGCCUACAUGAAGCCGGAAUCGCUAGUAAUCGCGGAUCAGCACGCCGCGGUGAAUACGUUCCCGGGCCUUGUACACACCGCCCGUCACACCACGAGAGUUUGUAACACCCGAAGUCGGUGAGGUAACCUUUUGGAGCCAGCCGCGUAAGGGGAUUAAGU